rnacentral:rRNA from 1 species
AUUGAACGCUGGCGGCAGGCCUAACACAUGCAAGUCGAACGGUAACAGGAAGAAGCUUGCUUCUUUGCUGACGAGUGGCGGACGGGUGAGUAAUGUCUGGGAAACUGCCUGAUGGAGGGGGAUAACUACUGGAAACGGUAGCUAAUACCGCAUAACGUCGCAAGACCAAAAAGGGGGACCUUCGGGCCUCUUGCCCUCGGAUGUGCCCAGAUGGGAUUAGCUAGUAGGUGGGGUAACGGCUCACCUAGGCGACGAUCCCUAGCUGGUCUGAGAGGAUGACCAGCCACACGGGAACUGAGACACGGGCGAGACUCCUACGGGAGGCAGCAGUGGGGAAUAUUGGACAAUGGGCGCAAGCCUGAUACAGCAAUACCGGGGGGGUGAAGAAGGCCUUCGGGUUGUAAAGCGCUUUGGGGGGGGAAGAAGAGAAGAAGGUUAAUACCUUGCUGAUUUGACGGUAGCCAAAGAAGAAGCACGGGCUAACUUCGUG